AUACGGAGGAUGCAAGCGUUAUCCGGAUUUAUUGGGUUUAAAGGGUGCGUAGGCGGUUUGCUAAGCGGGGGGUGAAAUGCCGGCGCUCAACGUCGGAAGUGCCUCCCGAACUGGUGGACUUGAAUGACUCUGCCGUGGGAGGAAUGUGUAGUGUAGCGGUGAAAUGCUUAGAGAUUACACAGAACACCGAUUACGAAGGCAUCUCACGAAGGGUUGAUUGACGCUGAGGCACGAAAGCGUGGGGAUCAAACAGGAUUAGAUACCCUGGUAGUCCACGCAGUAAACGAUGAUGGCUAACCGCUGGGCUUAUCAGUUCAGUGGCCAAGCGAAAGCGAUAAGCCAUCCACCUGGGGAGUACGACCGCAAGGUUGAAACUCAAAUGAAUUGGCGGGG
rnacentral:rRNA from 1 species